rnacentral:tRNA from 1 species
GGCGCUGUGGCUCAAGUGGUAGAGCGCUAGCCUUGAGCUGAAGAGCUGAGGGACAGCGCCCAGGCCCACCACGACCGGACCAAAAAAAAAAUAGAGUUGGGCACUGGUAAGCUAGUAAGUGCAAUGCCCUGAAUUCAAAUUCCAGUACUGCCA